AACUACAUGUACAAAUUCUGCGCUGGUUAAAGGUCCAGUUCGUGACAUAGUCGCUACAACUUUUGCGCCAAAGGUGCUGCUUAAUUCCUUUUCAUCACGAGCUCGCUCUGUACCUUUUUGUUUGAUUUUAUUUAUUGAUUAGAUGUUGGAGCGGCACGUUCGCGGGUGUGCUGGUGCCUAGCCCAACUGUCUUUGGGCAGUAGGCGGGGGACACCCUGAACUGGUUGCCAGCCAAUCGAAGGGGCUCUCAUCAGUGUAAAAUAUGGGGUCACAUGGAACCUGGAGCCCAUCCCAGUGGAACUAAGGAAGUGACGGAGAUGACUUCGAGGGGUCGAGACAACCCGAGGGAGGUCGUCAAGUCUCUCCAAAAGAAGUUCGGGAGGAAAAGGAGCCCCGCGUCAGGCUAACGAUGGGCAAAUACACUCUGCACGGAAAUUGAGAGCCUAGUCUUCAAAAUAAAAGCACAAGCAUGGGUCGUGAGUUAGUCAUACCGUAAUCACCACGUUUCUGCAUGAAAGAAGCUCA